ensembl:lncRNA
AUGUGGGUUUUUGUGAGUGCUAUACAUGGCCUUUUUCUUCUGUCAUUUAUGUCAAUACAUCAAAUAAAAUACUUUGAUCUUAUAUUAUUAGCUGUUGUUUAUUUGCAAAGGUUAUUCUCAACAGGGAUGCUAGACAAAAACGGCGUUUUCUACAGACAGCCUAGCAUACGCUCUCCACUUGCGAGUGAAAAAAGAAAAAGAAAAAACACCCCUUCCCUAUUGGUGUUAGAGUUUACCAUGUCAGCCAAUCAAAAAAAUGAUAUGGCAACAUGUGACAUUUGGUUGUUUAGGGAGAAGGGGAAGUUUUUAGGAGUGACACCCGCGACGGAAAGCGGGCGAGCGAAAGAAAGAGAGAGAGAGAGUUUUCAUAUGUGAGACAUUAGUGACGUUUAGCGUGUUUGGAGGCUAUAGUUAGUUUGUUGUGUAGUUAUUGUUUUGUAUUGUGUGUCGGUUAGACUGCUGAAUUUCAUAUUUGAUCUAAAAAAGCUGUCAAAGGCAGAUUCCAGUGUAAACGCUGUCUCCACAUAGAAAACUGGACUGUUGCACCUCCAGUUGUCAGACCUGCAGGGUUUAGGCCUGUGGUGUUCUCCUCUGUCUUAUACUGAACACAAACUACAUUUUUUGGACUGGCACAAAUAAUUUGUGUGCCUUCUUAUUUGAUGCAGCACACCUGAUUGUUCUGUAAAUAGAUUUAAAUGGUUAUAUAAAAAAACGCCUGAGGCCUUGGCUGCAUUUUUAGGUAAAUAGUACCAUAUAACUUUGUUGUUUGCAAAACUUGUGCAUAAUUUUUAGAAAUGUACAAUUUCUAUUUGCAUUUCAAGUUAUGAAAAUGAUUCGUUAAACAUGUAAAAAAAUAUAACUUUUUUCUACUCGGAUUCUGAAUUUUUUGUCUGAAUUUAGAUCAAAUGUGCUAAUAUAGUAUACCAAAAUGAAAAAAAUAACUCAAAUUUCAGAUAUUUGAGGUUGUGCUGUAAAUAAUGAUACCAAACAAGGCAAGAAAAACAUAUUUUAAAAGUGAAAUAUAGAAGUAAAAUCAAAAGUAGUCAAGAACGGCCAAUUAUACCCGGGACCCCAGAGGGUUAAAAAAAAGACUUGAAAGGACUUGAAAUUCAAAGUUUCGGACUUGGGACUUGACUUGAAAGUUGUCUGUCUUGACUUGCGACUUGACUCUGACUUGCUUGACUUUACUUGAGACUUGACUUGUGACUUGAGGAUAAAGACUUGGGACUUACUUGAGACUUGCAAAACAAUGACUUGGUCCCACCUCUGAUUUCAAUUAUACAAAGUUAGUAUACAUCUCUUUGUUCUGCAGGAGGUUUUACAGUAACAUAACUUCACAUCAUAUACAAACUUUCCAUUUCCAGUUUAUCAAAUACCACUGAACAGUCCUCACCAUUAAAUCUAACCUCUCUUAUUUCUCACCUGUUCUGGCUAUUUUAUCUUUCUCCAUCUCUGAGUGAAGUUAGCUCUCUUUCUUCUUCUCUCCCUGUGAAAUACAGCAGCUGGACCAUUAGCUAGCAGACACUGUCCGACAAACUGCACACAGUUUGAGUGGUUGCUUAUAUUUCUUGAGCUGAUAGAAACACUGCAUUUGAAAUGACGCACAGCGAC